GGUGUGGGUCGGGCAGUUGCUCUUCCGUCGUUGAUGACGGAAGGGAGGAAAGUCCAAACUUCUUAGGGCGGUAAGUUCCGAGCAAUCGGAAAUUCCAGUGGCUAAAUCCGCUGGAAAUGGAAAGUGCCACAGAAAACAUACCGCCCCAACCUUUUAGGUUGGGGUAAGGGUGAAAAGGUGGGGUAAGAGCCCACCGUCCCGAUAGUGAUAUCGGGAGCAGGGCAAACCCCUUAUGAAGCAAGACCAAAUAGGAGAGGACCUCUGUUCAGUAAUGAACGGAGCCGAGAUUGCCCGUCUCGGCUUUGCUCCCUAAGGAGCAAAGGACUCUCGGGUGGGUCGCAUAAGAGAAAUAACUGCCACUUCCCAUCUUAAAGGAUGGGAGGGACAGAAUUUGGCUUAUAGACCCACACCAGUU
rnacentral:RNase_P_RNA from 1 species